rnacentral:tRNA from 1 species
GGUUAUAUGGUGUAAUGGUUAGCACUCUGGUCUUUGAAUCCAGCAAUCCGAGUACAAAUCUCGGUAGAACCA